rnacentral:rRNA from 1 species
GUACCGGAGGAAGGUGAGGAUGAUGUCAAGUCAGCAUGACCUUUAUAUCCCAGGGCUACACACACGCUACAAUGGUCUGUACAAUUGGUUGCCAAGGCCGCGAGGCGGAGCCAAUCCGUAAAGCAGGCCUCAAGUUCAGAUUGCAGUCUGCAACUCGACUGCAUGAAGCCGGAGUUGCUAGUAACCGCAGGUCAGCAAUACUGCGGUGAAUACGUUCCCGGGUCUU